GACGAACGCUGGUUGCGUGCUUAACACAUGCAAGUCGAACGGAAAGGCCCUGCUUUUGUGGGGUGCUCGAGUGGCGAACGGGUGAGUAACACGUGAGUAACCUGCCCUUGACUUUGGGAUAACUUCAGGAAACUGGGGCUAAUACCGGAUAGGAGCUCCUGCUGCAUGGUGGGGGUUGGAAAGUUUCGGCGGUUGGGGAUGGACUCGCGGCUUAUCAGCUUGUUGGUGGGGUAGUGGCUUACCAAGGCUUUGACGGGUAGCCGGCCUGAGAGGGUGACCGGCCACAUUGGGACUGAGAUACGGCCCAGACUCCUACGGGAGGCAGCAGUGGGGAAUAUUGCACAAUGGGCGGAAGCCUGAUGCAACAACGCCGCGUGCGGGAUGACGGCCUUCGGGUUGUAAACCGCUUUCGCCUGUGACGAAGCGUGAGUGACGGUAAUGGGUAAAGAAGCACCGGCUAACUACGUGCCAGCAGCCGCGGUGAUACGUAGGGUGCGAGCGUUGUCCGGAUUUAUUGGGCGUAAAGGGCUCGUAGGUGGUUGAUCGCGUCGGAAGUGUAAUCUUGGGGCUUAACCCUGAGCGUGCUUUCGAUACGGGUUGACUUGAGGAAGGUAGGGGAGAAUGGAAUUCCUGGUGGAGCGGUGGAAUGCGCAGAUAUCAGGAGGAACACCAGUGGCGAAGGCGGUUCUCUGGGCCUUUCCUGACGCUGAGGAGCGAAAGCGUGGGGAGCGAACAGGCUUAGAUACCCUGGUAGUCCACGCUGUAAACGGUGGGUACUAGGUGUGGGGUCCAUUCCACGGGUUCCGUGCCGUAGCUAACGCUUUAAGUACCCCGCCUGGGGAGUACGGCCGCGAGGCUAAAACUCAAAGGAAUUGACGGGGCCCCGCACAAGCGGCGGAGCAUGCGGAUUAAUUCGAUGCAACGCGUAGAACCUUACCUGGGUUUGACAUGGAUCGGGAGUGCUCAGAGAUGGGUGUGCCUCUUUUGGGGUCGGUUCACAGGUGGUGCAUGGCUGUCGUCAGCUCGUGUCGUGAGAUGUUGGGUUAAGUCCCGCAACGAGCGCAACCCUUGUUCACUGUUGCCAGCACGUUAUGGUGGGGACUCAGUGGAGACCGCCGGGGUCAACUCGGAGGAAGGUGGGGAUGACGUCAAGUCAUCAUGCCCCUUAUGUCCAGGGCUUCACGCAUGCUACAAUGGCUGGUACAGAGAGUGGCGAGCCUGUGAGGGUGAGCGAAUCUCGGAAAGCCGGUCUCAGUUCGGAUUGGGGUCUGCAACUCGACCUCAUGAAGUCGGAGUCGCUAGUAAUCGCAGAUCAGCAACGCUGCGGUGAAUACGUUCCCGGG
rnacentral:rRNA from 1 species